UACGUAGGGGGCAAGCGUUGUCCGGAUUUACUGGGCGUAAAGGGCGCGUAGGCGGCGCUUCAAGUCAGAUGUGAAAGCCCCGGGCUCAACCUGGGAACUGCAUUUGAGACUGAAGAACUCGAGUUCGGGAGAGGAUGGCGGAAUUCCCAGUGUAGAGGUGAAAUUCGUAGAUAUUGGGAAGAACACCGGUGGCGAAGGCGGCUCUCUGGACCGAGACUGACGCUGAGGCGCGAAAGCGUGGGGAGCAAACAGG
rnacentral:rRNA from 1 species